rnacentral:rRNA from 1 species
UACAGAGGUCUCAAGCGUUGUUCGGAUUCAUUGGGCGUAAAGGGUGUGUAGGUGGCGCCGUAAGUCGGGGUGUGAAAUUUCGGAGCUUAACUCCGAAACUGCAUUCGAUACUGCGGUGCUUGAGGACUGGAGAGGAGACUGGAAUUCAUGGUGUAGCAGUGAAAAUGCGUAGAGAUCAUGAGGGAAGACCAGUGGCGAAGGCGGGGUCUCUGGAC